CCUACGGGUGAACAAUCCGGAGGACGGUACCGAGAGAAGAAGCCCCGGCUAACUCCGUGCCAGCAGCCGCGGUAAUACGGGGGGGGCAAGCGUUGUUCGGAAUUACUGGGCGUAAAGGGCUCGUAGGCGGCCAACUAAGUCAGACGUGAAAUCCCUCGGCUUAACCGGGGAACUGCAUCUGAUACUGGAUGGCUUGAGUUCGGGAGAGGGAUGCGGAAUUCCAGGUGUAGCGGUGAAAUGCGUAGAUAUCUGGAGGAACACCGGUGGCGAAGGCGGCAUCCUGGACCGCCUGACGCUGAGGAGCGAAAGCCAGGGGAGCAAACGGGAUUAGAUACCCUAGUAGUC
rnacentral:rRNA from 1 species